GAUGAACGCUGGCGGCGUGCCUAAUACAUGCAAGUCGAGCGAACGGACGAGAAGCUUGCUUCUCUGAUGUUAGCGGCGGACGGGUGAGUAACACGUGGAUAACCUAUCUAUAAGACUGGGAUAACCUCGGGAAACCGGAGCUAAUACCGGAUGAUAUUUUGAACCGCAUGGUUCAAAAGUGAAAGACGGUCUUGCUGUCACUUAUAGAUGGAUCCGCGCUGCAUUAGCUAGUUGGUAAGGUAACGGCUUACCAAGGCAACGAUGCAUAGCCGACCUGAGAGGGUGAUCGGCCACACUGGAACUGAGACACGGUCCAGACUCCUACGGGAGGCAGCAGUAGGGAAUCUUCCGCAAUGGGCGAAAGCCUGACGGAGCAACGCCGCGUGAGUGAUGAAGGUCUUCGGAUCGUAAAACUCUGUUAUUAGGGAAGAACAUAUGUGUAAGUAACUGUGCACAUCUUGACGGUACCUAAUCAGAAAGCCACGGCUAACUACGUG
rnacentral:rRNA from 1 species